GACGAACGCUGGCGGCGUGCUUAACACAUGCAAGUCGAACGGAGCACCUUUGAAAGAGACUUCGGUCAAUGGAUGAGACUGCUUAGUGGCGGACGGGUGAGUAACGCGUGAGGAACCUGCCUUUCAGAGGGGGACAACAGUUGGAAACGACUGCUAAUACCGCAUGAUGCAUGAUCAGGGCAUCCUGGACAUGCCAAAGAUUUAUCGCUGAAAGAUGGCCUCGCGUCUGAUUAGCUAGUUGGUGAGGUAACGGCCCACCAAGGCAACGAUCGGUAGCCGGACUGAGAGGUUGAUCAGCCACAUUGGGACUGAGACACGGCCCAG
rnacentral:rRNA from 1 species